UACGAAGGGGGCUAGCGUUGCUCGGAAUCACUGGGCGUAAAGCGCACGUAGGCGGAUUGUUAAGUCAGGGGUGAAAUCCUGGAGCUCAACUCCAGAACUGCCUUUGAUACUGGCGAUCUUGAGUUCGGGAGAGGAGCGUGGAAUUCCUGGUGUAGCGGUGAAAUGCGCAGAUAUCAGGAAGAACACCCGUGGCGAAGGCGGCUCUCUGGGACGGUACUGACGCUGAGACGCGAAAGCGUGGGGAGCGAACAGG
rnacentral:rRNA from 1 species